AGAUCCCUGAAAGAUGAUCAGGUUGAUAGGUCAGAGGUGGAAGCGUGGCGACAUGUGUAGCUGACUGAUACUAAUCGAUCGAGGACUUAACCA
rnacentral:rRNA from 2 species